CCUACGUGUGGCAGCAGUGGGGAAUAUUGGGCAAUGGAGGAAACUCUGACCCAGCAACGCCGCGUGAAUGAUGAAGGUCUUCGGAUUGUAAAGUUCUUUUCUCAGGGAAGAAGAACGUGACGGUCCCUUAGGCAUACGCCUCUGCUAACUACGUGCCAGCAGCCGCGGUAAUACGUAGGAGGCGAGCGUUAUCCGGAAUGACUGGGCGUAAAGGGUGCGUAGGUGGUUUGGCAAGUAAGUAGCGUAACUCCAAGGCUCAACCUUGGAACUACUACUAAAACUGUUGGACUGGAGUGCAGGAGAGGCAAACGGAAUUCCUAGUGUAGCGGUGGAAUGCGUAGAUAUUAGGAGGAACACCAGUGGCGAAGGCGGGUUGCUAGACCGUAACUGACACUGAGGCACGAAAGCGUGGGGAGCAAACAGGAUUAGAUACCCUUGUAGUC
rnacentral:rRNA from 1 species